UCGGGAAUUUUGCGCAAUGGGCGAAAGCCUGACGCAGCAACGCCGCGUGAGGGAUGAAGGCCUUCGGGUUGUAAACCUCUUUUCUCAGGGACGAUGAUGACGGUACCUGAGGAAUAAGCCACGGCUAACUACGUGCCAGCAGCCGCGGUAAUACGUAGGUGGCGAGCGUUGUCCGGAUUUACUGGGCGUAAAGAGCACGCAGGCGGUCGUAUGAGUCGCGUGUGAAAGCCCCCGGCUCAACUGGGGAGGGUCACGCGAUACUGUUCGACUCGAAGGCAGGAGAGGGAAGCGGAAUUCCCGGUGUGGUGGUGAAAUGCGUAGAUAUCGGGAGGAACACCAGUGGCGAAGGCGGCUUCCUGGCCUGUUCUUGACGCUGAGGCGCGAAAGCUAGGGUAGCAAACGGG
rnacentral:rRNA from 1 species